GACGAACGCUGGCGGCGUGCUUAACACAUGCAAGUCGAGCGGAAAGGCGCCUUCCGGGGUACACGGGCGGCGGACGGGGGCGUAACACGAACGUAAUCUGCCCCUCACUUCAGGAUAACCACCGCAAACGGAGACUAAUACCGAAAACGACCAGUCUUCUCAUGCGGAGCGGGCGGUAGUGAUAUUCGGUGGUGCAUGUGCUCGCGGCCUAUCAGCUUGCUGGUUAGGUAAUGGCCUAGCAAGGCCUCGACGGGUAGCCGGCCUGAGAGGGUGACUGGCCACACUGGGACUGGGACACGGCGCGGAGUACUACGGGGGGAAGCAGUGGGGAAGGUUGGACAAUGGGCGAAAGCCUGAGCCAGCAACGCCGCGGGAGGGAUGACGGCAUACGGGUUGUAAACCGCUUUAAGUACCGACGAAGCGCCCUGUCGGGUGGUGACGGUAGGUACAGAAGAAGGACCGGCCAACUACGG
rnacentral:rRNA from 1 species